AUGGUCCUGGAAGUUGGUGGCAAUGUCCACAACCAUCCUAGAAAUCGCGAAUGGCGUCAAUACAGUCCUGACAAUAAGUUGGAAAUAGAACGGCAAUACGAUCCUCAAACUUGGGCAAUAGGUCCUGGGAUACGUCUCCGUGUACAAAUUGCAUACACCAGGACCACCACGCCAGCAGAGGAAAAAACAAAAGAUUCGAGGGCAACUGGUGUGGAUCGUGCGACUGGAUUGUCUUUUUUCGUUCGCCUCCCUGCCGUUUCUAAAGAGCUGUCUCAUGCGCCCUCCGCCCCACUGUUCGUGGAGUUUUUGUGUGCAUUCUUGGAGCAGAGCCGCUACACUAUGGAGGCGGUGGUGUGA
rnacentral:rRNA from 1 species